GGUUAAGCGACUAAGCGUACACGGUGGAUGCCUAGGCAAUCAGAGGCGAUGAAGGACGUGCUAAUCUGCGAUAAGCGUCGGUAAGGUGAUAUGAACCGUUACAACCGACGAUUUCCGAAUGGGGAAACCCAGUGCAAUUCGUUGCACUAUCGUUUGAUGAAUACAUAGUCAAACGAAGCGAACCGGGGGAACUGAAACAUCUCAGUACCCCGAGGAAAAGAAAUCAACCGAGAUUCCCCUAGUAGCGGCGAGCGAACGGGGAGCAGCCCAGAGUCUUAAUCAGCAUUAGCAUCAGGAGAACGGUCUGGAAAGUCCGGCAGUAAAGGGAGAUAGCCCCGUAUCCGAAGGUGUUAGUGUUGUGAACUCGACGAGUAGGGCGGGACACGUGUUAUCCUGUCUGAAUAUGGGGGGACCAUCCUCCAAGGCUAAAUACUCCUGAUUGACCGAUAGUGAACCAGUACCGUGAGGGAAAGGCGAAAAGAACCCCGGCGAGGGGAGUGAAAUAGAACCUGAAACCGUGUACGUACAAGCAGUGGGAGCCUUGAUUUAUCAGGGUGACUGCGUACCUUUUGUAUAAUGGGUCAGCGACUUAUAUUCUGUAGCAAGGUUAACCGUAUAGGGGAGCCGUAGGGAAACCGAGUCUUAACUGGGCGAAUAAGUUGCAGGGUAUAGACCCGAAACCCGGUGAUCUAGCCAUGGGCAGGUUGAAGGUUGGGUAACACUAACUGGAGGACCGAACCGACUAAUGUUGAAAAAUUAGCGGAUGACUUGUGGCUGGGGGUGAAAGGCCAAUCAAACCGGGAGAUAGCUGGUUCUCCCCGAAAGCUAUUUAGGUAGCGCCUCGUGAACUCAUCUUCGGGGGUAGAGCACUGUUUCGACUAGGGGGUCAUCCCGACUUACCAACUCGAUGCAAACUACGAAUACCGAAGAAUGUUAUCACGGGAGACACACGGCGGGUGCUAACGUUCGUCGUGAAGAGGGAAACAACCCAGACCGCCAGCUAAGGUCCCAAAGUCAUAGUUAAGUGGGAAACGAAGUGGGAAGGCUCAGACAGCCAGGAUGUUGGCUUAGAAGCAGCCAUCAUUUAAAGAAAGCGUAAUAGCUCACUGGUCGAGUCGGCCUGCGCGGAAGAUGUAACGGGGCUAAACUAUGCACCGAAGCUGCGGCAGCGAUAUGUAAAUAUUGUUGGGUAGGGGAGCGUUCUGUAAGCCUGUGAAGGUGUGCUGUGAGGCAUGCUGGAGGUAUCAGAAGUGCGAAUGCUGACAUAAGUAACGAUAAUGCGGGUGAAAAACCCGCACGCCGGAAGACCAAGGGUUCCUGUCCAACGUUAAUCGGGGCAGGGUGAGUCGACCCCUAAGGCGAGGCAGAAAUGCGUAGUCGAUGGGAAACGGGUUAAUAUUCCCGUACUGGUGAUAAUUGCGAUGGGGGGACGGAGAAGGCUAGGCUAUCCGGGCGACGGUUGUCCCGGUUUAAGGAUGUAGGCAGGUGAAUUAGGCAAAUCCGGUUCACUAUAUGCUGAGGUCCGAUGACGAGUCACUACGGUGAUGAAGUAGCUCAUGCCCCGCUUCCAGGAAAAGCCUCUAAGCUCUAGAUUAUCAUUAAUCGUACCCCAAACCGACACAGGUGGUCAGGUAGAGAAUACUCAGGCGCUUGAGAGAACUCGGGUGAAGGAACUAGGCAAAAUGGUGCCGUAACUUCGGGAGAAGGCACGCUGGCAUUAGGUGAAGUGAUUUACUCAUGGAGCUGAAGCCAGUCGCAGAUACCAGCUGGCUGCAACUGUUUAUUAAAAACACAGCACUGUGCAAACACGAAAGUGGACGUAUACGGUGUGACGCCUGCCCGGUGCUGGAAGGUUAAUUGAUGGGGUUAUCCGUAAGGAGAAGCUCUUGAUCGAAGCCCCAGUAAACGGCGGCCGUAACUAUAACGGUCCUAAGGUAGCGAAAUUCCUUGUCGGGUAAGUUCCGACCUGCACGAAUGGCGUAAUGAUGGCCAGGCUGUCUCCACCCGAGACUCAGUGAAAUUGAACUCGCUGUGAAGAUGCAGUGUACCCGCGGCAAGACGGAAAGACCCCGUGAACCUUUACUAUAGCUUGACACUGAACAUUGAGCCUUGAUGUGUAGGAUAGGUGGGAGGCUUUGAAGCGUGGACGCCAGUCUGCGUGGAGCCAACCUUGAAAUACCACCCUUUAAUGUUUGAUGUUCUAACGUUGCCCCAUUAUCUGGGGUGCGGACAGUGUCUGGUGGGUAGUUUGACUGGGGCGGUCUCCUCCCAAAGAGUAACGGAGGAGCACGAAGGUUGGCUAAGCAUGGUCGGACAUCAUGCGGUUAGUGCAAAGGCAUAAGCCAGCUUGACUGCGAGAGUGACGGCUCGAGCAGGUACGAAAGUAGGUCUUAGUGAUCCGGUGGUUCUGAAUGGAAGGGCCAUCGCUCAACGGAUAAAAGGUACUCCGGGGAUAACAGGCUGAUACCGCCCAAGAGUUCAUAUCGACGGCGGUGUUUGGCACCUCGAUGUCGGCUCAUCACAUCCUGGGGCUGAAGUAGGUCCCAAGGGUACGGCUGUUCGCCGUUUAAAGUGGUACGCGAGCUGGGUUUAGAACGUCGUGAGACAGUUCGGUCCCUAUCUGCCGUGGGCGUUGGAAGAUUGAAAGGGGCUGCUCCUAGUACGAGAGGACCGGAGUGGACGCACCACUGGUGUUCGGGUUGUCAUGCCAAUGGCAUUGCCCGGUAGCUAAGUGCGGAAGAGAUAACCGCUGAAAGCAUCUAAGCGGGAAACUUGCCUUGAGAUGAGUCUUCCCUGACCCUUUAAGGGUCCUAAAGGAACGUUUAAGACUAAGACGUUGAUAGGUUGGGUGUGUAAGCGUAGCGAUACGUUGAGCUAACCAAUACUAAUGAACCGUGAGGCUUAACCUG
rnacentral:rRNA from 1 species